GACGAACGCUGGCGGCGUGCUUAACACAUGCAAGUCGAACGGAAAGGCCCUGCUUUUGUGGGGUGCUCGAGUGGCGAACGGGUGAGUAACACGUGAGUAACCUGCCCUUGACUUUGGGAUAACUUCAGGAAACUGGGGCUAAUACCGGAUAGGAGCUCCUGCUGCAUGGUGGGGGUUGGAAAGUUUCGGCGGUUGGGGAUGGACUCGCGGCUUAUCAGCUUGUUGGUGGGGUAGUGGCUUACCAAGGCUUUGACGGGUAGCCGGCCUGAGAGGGUGACCGGCGACAUUGGGACUGAGGUACGGCCCAGACUCCUACGGGGGGCAGCAGUGGGGAAUAUUGCACAAUGGGCGGAAGCCUGAUGCAGCAACGCCGCGUGCGGGAUGACGGCCUUCGGGUUGUAAACCGCUUUCGCCUGUGACGAAGCGUGAGUGACGGUAAUGGGUAAAGAAGCACCGGCUAACUACGUG
rnacentral:rRNA from 1 species